rfam:Bombyx mori DNA, contig: Bm_scaf46_contig25272, strain: p50T/Dazao, build 2, whole genome shotgun sequence.
UUAACGCAAAUUUGUAUGGACUUGGAAAGUUUGCCUACGUUUGCCGCUAGGGGCGCUGUUCCAACUGCAUACAAAUCUGCGUUA